rnacentral:rRNA from 1 species
CAGCAGCCGCGGGAAAACGAAGGGGGCUAGCGUUGUUCGGAUUUACUGGGCGUAAAGCGCACGUAGGCGGACUUUUAAGUCAGGGGUGAAAUCCCGGGGCUCAACCCCGGAACUGCCUUUGAUACUGGAAGUCUUGAGUAUGGUAGAGGUGAGUGGAAUUCCGAGUGUAGAGGUGAAAUUCGUAGAUAUUCGGAGGAACACCAGUGGCGAAGGCGGCUCACUGGACCAUUACUGACGCUGAGGUGCGAAAGCGUGGGGAGCAAACAGGAUUAGAUACCCCUGUAGUCCCUGUCUCUUAUAC